ensembl:misc_RNA Metazoa_SRP Metazoan signal recognition particle RNA
GCUGGGUGUGGUGGCGAGUGCCUAUAAUCCCAGUUACUCAGGAGGCUGAGGCAGGAGAAUCACUUGAAUUCAGGAGGCAGAGGGUGCAGUGAGCUCAGAUUGAGCCACUGCACUCCAGCCUGGGUGACAGAGCGAGACUCUGUCUCAA